rnacentral:misc_RNA from 1 species
GUCGUUCAACUGGGCUCACGUUUUACUACAAACUAUUAAAGUAUCAGAAUGUCUACUGCGAAUUAACGCAUUUAAAUACAACUUUCAGCAACGGAUCUCUUGGCUCUCGCAUCGAUGAAGAACGCAGCGAAAUGCGAUAAGUAAUGUGAAUUGCAGAAUUCAGUGAAUCAUCGAAUCUUUGAACGCACCUUGCGCUCCUUGGUAUUCCGAGGAGCAUGCCUGUUUGAGUGUCAUGAAAUUCUCAACCUAACGAGUCUUUGCGGGCUCGGUAGGCUUGGACUUGGAGGUUCUUGUCGGCCUAACGGUCGGCUCCUCUUAAAUGCAUUAGCUCGGUUCCUUGCGGAUCGGCUCACGGUGUGAUAAUUGUCUACGCCGCGACCGUUGAAG